GGGAGCAAAUGGCGUCGGAACUCUGGAACCUUCCCUUUGGAUGGUUACAUUAAUCCAUAUAAGGAAAUCUCUUUUUAAUGAGGAGGUGAUGGAGUCUCAAACUCUCCCGACCCAUAAUUAGAGCAAACUAAUGAAGCUGUGUUUUGACACACUUUCCAAACUCACGGGCGCCGGCGACACACUCACAACACUGCUGCAGAAUCAUUAGGCUAAUAACACUCGCUCGCAUCCCGUGAAGCUCGCCCUCCCUCAGACGCUGUUUCUGCACCCGCCUGCCCUGUGGACUCCACUGAAGAUAUCAACUGUGAUUAUGAGCACUUUUGUGGAAUUCUAAUGUUAAGAG
rnacentral:sRNA from 1 species